GCGGCGUUACCUCAGCUGGAUAGAGGGUCUGACUACGAAUCAGAACGUCAGGGGUUCGAAUCCCUUACGCCGCACCA
rnacentral:tRNA from 1 species